rnacentral:lncRNA from 1 species
AUUUCUUUGCAUAAGUUACAAUUAAUAAAAAUAUAUCGGGAAUACAUUGCGCGUGGGAGCCCCUGAUCGGAAGCUCGCUCUAUCGGCCACUGCCACACGAUUCGCAGAAGCGCUGACCUUGGCGCGACGUCUGUUUGUUUACGAGUUUACGUCCUGACUCACUACCAUUCCCAUAUACCCCCUUCGUCACAGGUUUCAAUUGCAAUUUUCGGCAGUUCGAGUUUAAAUAGGACGUUGAACACAGCUUUGGUGUUAUUCUGUUGUUUACUUUCAGUUUUUAGUAGCUGUUAUGUGAUCCAUUAAGAAGAUUCUGAAGAUUAUAUGUGAUGAUAUUGAGAAUAACAAAAUAAGGUGAUUAUCGUCACAAUGGUAAUGGCUUGCGAUCGUUUAGAGCAAAGUGGGCUAGCGCUACUUGAUGUAUUCUACAAACUUUCAAUAAAAGACUGCGACGAGCAUUUGAAAAUUGAUCUUUUGAUACUAACUUUAUAUGGAGAAAGAUGGAGACCUACAGUAUCUGCCUUAGGAUUUUUUCAAAUUAACCAGCGAUGCAUAAAUGGUUUGUUUGCUACAGUUGUCAGUUAUUUGGUGACUUUUAUUCAGUUUACAAUCUUUCAAGACAAAUAAAUAUUAUACUAAUAUGCAAA